UACGGGAGGCAGCAGUGGGGAAUAUUGCACAAUGGAGGGAACUCUGAUGCAACGAUGCCGCGUGGAGGAAGAAGGUUUUCGGAUUGUAAACUCCUUUUAUCAGGGACGAUAUGACGGUACCUGAAGAAAAAGCUCCGGCUAACUACGUGCCAGCAGCCGCGGUAAUACGUAGGGAGCGAGCGUUGUCCGGAAUUACUGGGUGUAAAGGGAGCGUAGGCGGGAUAGCAAGUCAGAUGUGAAAACUAUGGGCUCCACCUGUAGAUGCAUUUGAAACUGUUGUUCUUGAGUGAAGUAGAGGUAAGCGGAAUUCCUAGUGUAGCGGUGAAAUGCGUAGAUAUUAGGAGGAACAUCGGUGGCGAAGGCGGCUUACUGGGCUUUUACUGACGCUGAGGCUCGAAAGCGUGGGGAGCAAACAGGAUUAGAUACCCUGGUAGUCCACGCUGUAAACGAUGAUUACUAGGUGUG
rnacentral:rRNA from 1 species